rnacentral:lncRNA from 1 species
GUCAUACCUGAAGGCAAGCAAAUCGCCACUGCGUCCUGCACGAACUUGUGGCCUGCCUAUCGAGGCCACUCCUCUCUGAACAAGGUUGUGUCAGUGUCCUCAGACCAAUGUGAUGUACUGGCAACAGGACGGGCUGUGUGCAGCUGUCAAGUUAUCCAGCCUUCGGUCUGGCCAGCUUGUAUUAGUGUUGCGUUAAUGUAUAUCCUGAAAGCAUAAAA